GAGAAACGCUGGUAUGUGUUGCAAUCAAAAGCCAGAGAGGAAAUUGCAGCACACAAGCGGGAGUCUUCACGCACAGGUGAGUGCUAUAACACUUUUUUGUACGCUGGCAAACUUAUCUCUAACAAUUAUAUAUGUAUAGCCUACUGUACAUGUGGUCCACUGUAUUGUUUUUUAGGGGGGGGACCACCUGCUAAACAGCUGUCCCAAGUAGCCCAAACCGUUUUUAACAUCUUAGGUCACUCAGAAACGAGUAUCACCGGUUUGAAGGAGGGCACAGACAGCUCAAUGAUUCAGCUGGUGGAACUAUAAAAAUGUAGCACAGAGCCUUCAGCAGAGGAAUGGGGACCGUCGACAUCGCAGGUGGGCGACCCUCAGCCCGAAGCGCCUCAUUCCUUCUGCUGCCACCGCAGCUGCUCCAACACCAUCCCUAGUAGACCAAAAACUGGAGAUGGAUGUCCUAAAGCAGCAGAAAAUAGUACUCCAUCUACAGGAGGAGUACUACAAACUAAAAAUUGAGCUACUCAAAAAUAAAACUAAUAACAAAUAA